GGAUAGCUCAGCUGGUUAGAGUAUGGUGCUGAUAAUGCCAAAGUUGCAGGUUUGAACCCCAUACAGGACCG
rnacentral:tRNA from 1 species